GAAUAGCUUAAUCACCAAUUAAAAAUAUUUAUGUCGUUUUUAAAAAGUUUUCACCCCUUCUUUAGAACUUGUAUCGAGAGUAUUGGCAGUUACGUGCGGAAGUGUAAGAAAAGAAAAGGAAAAUAUCACACGAGCGAUUUUAUCCUGGUUCGCGGUGGCUAACUCAACCCUUGGAGUCCACUCACCCCUAGUCCAGUCCCCGAGCUCCUCCCCGGACUCGAGAUUUUCUCUACUAUAAAGAACUCCUUUACAGUAGGCGGAGAAGCCUUUACAAAUAAAUAUCUUGGAGCGUAACUCUUUGUUACCUCCUCACUAUAAAUGUAAAUAACAAGACUUGUCUCGGAACGUAACUAUCCUUGUU
rnacentral:lncRNA from 1 species